GUGAGUCAUCGAAUCUUUGAACGCACAUUGCGCCCAUUGGUAUUCCGAUGGGCAUGCCUGUUCGAGCGUCAUUAUCAACCCUCAAGCCCCUUUGGCUUGGUGUUGGAGACUGGCGGGGCGCAUGCGCCCGGAGCCACUCCCAAAUACAAUGACGGCGGCGACGAUGGCCCCCGGCACACUGAGCUUCUCACCGAGCACGUGCUGGAAGGGUCUUGUGGCCACGGUCUGCCUCCCCUCUGGGAGAAACGGAUUUCAUCCACCAAGGUUGACCUCGGAUCAGGUAGGGAUACCCGCUGAACU
rnacentral:misc_RNA from 1 species